AGAGUUUGAUCCUGGCUCAGAUUGAACGCUGGCGGCAGGCUUAACACAUGCAAGUCGAGCGGAGUGAUGGUGCUUGCACUAUCACUUAGCGGCGGACGGGUGAGUAAUGCUUAGGAAUCUGCCUAUUAGUGGGGGACAACAUUUCGAAAGGAAUGCUAAUACCGCAUACGUCCUACGGGAGAAAGCAGGGGAUCUUCGGACCUUGCGCUAAUAGAUGAGCCUAAGUCGGAUUAGCUAGUUGGUGGGGUAAAGGCCUACCAAGGCGACGAUCUGUAGCGGGUCUGAGAGGAUGAUCCGCCACACUGGGACUGAGACACGGCCCAGACUCCUACGGGAGGCAGCAGUGGGGAAUAUUGGACAAUGGGCGCAAGCCUGAUCCAGCCAUGCCGCGUGUGUGAAGAAGGCCUUAUGGUUGUAAAGCACUUUAAGCGAGGAGGAGGCUACUGAAGUUAAUACCUUCAGAUAG
rnacentral:rRNA from 1 species